rnacentral:misc_RNA from 1 species
GAAAUGCGAUAAGUAGUGUGAAUUGCAGAAUUCAGUGAAUCAUCGAAUCUUUGAACGCACAUUGCGCCCCUUGGUAUUCCAUGGGGCAUACCUGUUCGAGCGUCAUUUGUACCCUCAAGCUCUGCUUGGUGUUGGGUGUUUGUCCCGUCUCCGCGCGUGGACUCGCCCCAAAGUGAUUGGCAGCCGGCGUACUGGUCCCGGAGCGCAGCACAUGUCGCGCAAACGAGUGCCUUGGUACGGCGGCGUCCAUAAGCCCCUCUCUCACGCUCUUGACCUCGGAUCAGGUAGGGAUACCCGCUGAACUUAAAC